CGAAGACCGAAACAGCGAAAAUUUUAAAAAUGUUCCCAAAAAUGUUCUCAGUAUGGCGAAAAUUUUUGAUAUGAGAAAAGUAUAUAAUUAGUUUUACAAAUGAAAAUCCCAACAGUCUCUGAAAAUUUAAAAACAAUUAUUGAACAAAUUCAAUUCAGUAAGCAACUUUCUUAUAAGAGAUACUCAAUCCUUUCCUGUUGAAAGCCCAAAUUUAAUUCAGCCAACCUAAAAUGCAGUAGAAGAAGAUACAGAGGUCAUGCUUACUUCUGCUGAAGGUCCAAAUAAUUCUGCUUGCAAAUGAUAAUAAAUCAGAAAAGCAUUUAUUGAAGAUUAUUAUUAUAUGAAUAUAAUAUUCCUUUUUUUC